rnacentral:rRNA from 1 species
CACGUAGGGCGCAAGCGUUGUCCGGAAUUAUUGGGCGUAAAGAGCUCGUAGGUGGUUUGUUACGUCUGCUGUGAAAUCCUAGGGCUUAACCCUGGGCUUGCAGUGGAUACGGGCAGACUAGAGGUAGGUAGGGGAGAAUGGAAUUCCUGGUGUAGCGGUGAAAUGCGUAGAUAUCGAGAGGAACACCUGCGGCGAAGGCGGGUUGCUGGGCCGACACUGACGCUGAUGCGCGAAAGCCAGGGGAGCGAACGGG